AAACCAACCGGGAUUGCCUCAGUAACGGCGAGUGAAGCGGCAAAAAGCUCAAAUUUGAAAUCUGGCACUUUCAGUGUCCGAGCUGUAAUUUGUAGAAGUAGUUUUGGGACUGGUCCUUAUCUAUGUUUCUUGGAACAGGACGUCAUAGAGGGUGAGAACCCCGUAUGAUGAGGCCCCCAGUCCUUUGUAAAACGCUUUCGAAGAGUCGAGUUGUUUGGGAAUGCAGCUCUAAGUGGGUGGUAAAUUCCAUCUAAAGCUAAAUAUUGGCGAGAGACCGAUAGCGAACAAGUACAGUGAUGGAAAGAUGAAAAGAACUUUGAAAAGAGAGUGAAAAAGUACGUGAAAUUGUUGAAAGGGAAGGGCAUUUGAUCAGACAUGGUGUUUUGCGCCCUUUGCUCCUUGUGGGCGGAGGAUACGCAGCUCACUGGGCCAACAUCAGUUUUGGGAGCAGGAUAAAUCUGUAGGAACGUAGCUUUCUUCGGGAAUGUAUAGCCUACGGGAUACUGCUA
rnacentral:rRNA from 1 species